rnacentral:rRNA from 1 species
UCAUGGCUCAGGAUGAACGCUAGCGACAGGCUUAACACAUGCAAGUCGAGGGGCAGCAUAGAAGUAGCAAUACUUGGUGGCGACCGGCGCACGGGUGAGUAACGCGUAUGCAACCUACCUAUCAGAGGGGAAUAACCCGGCGAAAGUCGGACUAAUACCGCAUAAAACAGGGGCACCGCAUGGUGAUAUUUGUUAAAGAAAUUCGCUGAUAGGUGGGCAUGCGUUCCAUUAGGUAGUUGGUGAGGUAACGGCUCACCAAGCCGACGAUGGAUAGGGGAACUGAGAGGUUGGUCCCCCACACUGGUACUGAGACACGGACCAGACUCCUACGGGAGGCAGCAGUGAGGAAUAUUGGUCAAUGGGCGGGAGCCUGAACCAGCCAAGUCCGCGUGAAGGAAGAAGGAUCUAUGGUUCGUAAACUUCUUUUGCAGGGGAAUAAAGUACGGGACGUGUCCUGUUUUGUAUGUACCCUGAGAAUAAGGAUCGGCUAACUCCGUGCCAGCCGCCGC